AGAGUUUGAUCCUGGCUCAGAAUGAACGCUAGCGGCAUGGAUUAGGCAUGCAAGUCGAACGAUCUUUUCGGAGAUAGUGGCGAAAGGGUGAGUAACGCGUGAGCAACCUGCCUCAAAGUUCGGAAUAGCCCGUGGAAACGCGGAUUAAUACCGGAUGUGGCCAGACCCCCUCGGGGGUUGACGCUAAAAUUUUUUGCUUUGAGAUGGGCUCGCGUUCCAUUAUGCUUGUUGGUGAGGUAACGGCUCACCAAGGCGAUGACGCAUAGGUGGUCUGAGAGGAUGGUCACCCACACUGGGACUGAGACACUGCCCAGACUCCUACGGGAGGCUGCAGUCGAGAAUCUUCCGCAAUGCGCGAAAGCGUGACGGAGCAAUGCCGCGUGCAGGAUGAAGGCUCUAGGGUCGUAAACUGCUGUCACCCGGGAUGAAUAACUGACAGUACCGGGAGAGGAAGCCACGGCUAACUACGUGCCAGCAGCCGCGGUAAUACGUAGGUGGCGAGCGUUAUUCGGAUUUAUUGGGCGUAAAGGGUUCGUAGGAGGUUGGAUAAGUUUGAUGUGAAAGCCCGUGGCUCAACCACGGAACUGCAUUGGAUACUGUUCAACUUGAGGUUCGGAGAGGAAAGCAGAAUUCCCGGUGUAGCGGUGGAAUGCGUAGAUAUCGGGAGGAAUACCGACAGCGAAGGCAGCUUUCUGACGACACCUGACUCUGAGAACGAAAGCCUGGGGAGCAAACAGGAUUAGAUACCUGGUAGUCCAGGCCGUAAACGUUGUGCACUCGAUGUGGGUAGGGUUAGUCCUAUCCGUGUCCAAGCUAACGCGAUAAGUGCACCGCCUGGGGAGUACGGCGGCAACGCUAAAACUCAAAGGAAUUGACGGGGGCCCGCACAAGCGGUGGAGCAUGUGGCUUAAUUCGAGGCAACGCGAAGAACCUUACCUGGGUUUGACAUAUAGAGGACCUCCUGUGAAAGCAGGAUUCUCUUCGGAGCUUCUAUACAG
rnacentral:rRNA from 1 species